rnacentral:misc_RNA from 1 species
CGGAGUUAUCCAACUCCCAAACCCAUGUGAACUUAUCUCUUUGUUGCCUCGGCGCAAGCUACCCGGGACCUCGCGCCCCGGGCGGCCCGCCGGCGGACAAACCAAAACUCUUGUUAUCUUAGUUGAUUAUCUGAGUGUCUUAUUUAAUAAGUCA